GCCAGGCCGUGUUCCGUGUCUCUGGAUUCAAGUCCCAGGAGUCCUGACCAGAGAGCAGGCAUCAGUGUUUUUCUGACCGAAGUUCUCAUUUCCUGACAAUGGAAAUGGAACAAGAAAAAAUGACCAUGAAUAAGGAAUUGAGUCCAGACGCGGCUGCUUACUGCUGCUCGGCCUGCCACGGCGACGAGACCUGGAGUUACAACCACCCCAUCCGGGGCCGGGCCAAGUCUCGCAGCCUGUCUGCCUCGCCCGCCCUGGGGAGCACCAAGGAGUUCAGGAGGACACGCUCUCUUCAUGGGCCAUGCCCGGUGACCACUUUUGGACCAAAGGCCUGUGUGCUGCAGAACCCCCAGACCAUCAUGCACAUUCAGGACCCCGCGAGCCAGCGGCUGACGUGGAACAAGUCCCCAAAGAGCGUCCUUGUCAUCAAGAAGAUGAGAGAUGCCAGCCUACUGCAGCCGUUCAAGGAGCUCUGCACGCACCUCAUGGAGGAGAACAACAUGAUCGUGUAUGUGGAAAAGAAAGUGCUAGAAGACCCUGCCAUCGCCAGCGAUGAAAGCUUUGGGGCAGUGAAGAAGAAAUUCUGUACCUUUCGAGAAGAUUAUGAUGACAUUUCCAAUCAGAUAGACUUCAUCAUCUGCCUGGGGGGAGACGGGACGCUGCUGUACGCUUCCUCGCUUUUCCAGGUGAAGCGCUGACAUUUCCAGACCCACACCAGGUUCUAGUCUAGGUGCUGUGUAACGAGGGGCUCACAAGCGUGGCUUCCAUUACUUUUCACCCCUUUAUACGAGAGCAGUCACCUAGAGCGGCCAGCACUGAGGCCCAUGGUGGCAGCCCGGUGGGGUGCAAUGGUGGGCCAGGGGCAGUGUGGACACAGUGCUACGGCUGGGGGUGGCCAGAGCCCGCCUGGGACAGCAGGGAGUGGCGCAGGGCGGUGGG
rnacentral:sRNA from 1 species